AAGACCUUGCGCUUUUGGAGCGGCCGAUGUCUGAUUAGCUUGUUGGUAAGGUAAAAGCUUACCAAGGCUUCGAUCAGUAGCUGGUCUGAGAGGACGYCCAGCCACACUGGGACUGAGACACGGCCCAGACUCCUACGGGAGGCAGCAGUGGGGAAUUUUGGACAAUGGGGGCAACCCUGAUCCAGCCAUGCCGCGUGAGUGAAGAAGGCCUUCGGGUUGUAAAGCUCUUUCAGCCGGAACGAAACGGUUACGGUUAAUACCCGUGACUACUGACGGUACCGGAAGAAGAAGCACCGGCUAACUACGUGCCAGCAGCCGCGGUAAUACGUAGGGUGCYAGCGUUAAUCGGAAUUACUGGGCGUAAAGCGUGCGCAGGUGGUUUUGUAAGUCAGAUGUGAAAUCCCCGGGCUUAACCUGGGAACU
rnacentral:rRNA from 1 species